rnacentral:rRNA from 1 species
AUCUGGGCGGCGGAAUUCAGGAUGGCGGGCGCGUCUUCGCGACGCGUUCGUCGUUUGAUAUUUCCGUCGCCGAACCUAACCGCAGACGUCGCGACCUGUUCGCGGUCGGUCCCUGCUCGGAGGAGCCGCGUUCGAGUUCGUUGUGUGCGCGUUUCUGCGCGUUACACGGCGAAGGCGCGGAUCUCUGGCCGGCCGACGGACAGUACGCUAAACGGUGUCCGAUGUCGUCGUCUCGUACGCGCGCGCAUCGGUACCGGUCGGCGACGAAUUCUUCGGGCCUCUUUCCGACCCGUCUUGAAACACGGACCAAGGAGUCUAACAUGCGCGCGAGUCGCGGGGUGUCGAGCGUACCACGGUGCGUUCGUUACGUUGCGAAACCCGUACAUGUCGAAGGCGUAAUGAAAGUAAAUGGGGAAGAUGGUGUUCCGAGUACACGUUCCGCGGUCACUGAUGCCGCGGCCGGACACCCGCAUUCCCGGGGCGUCUCAACGGCCCGUCGCGAACGCGGACAGUCGUCUCUCGGGGCGGCUGUCGGUCUGCGACGAACCGA